AUGCUCACUUUGGCAGCACAUAUACUAAAAUUGGAACAAUACAGAGAUUAGCAUGGCCCCUGCGUAAGGAUGACACGCAAAUUCAUACAGUGUUCCGUAUUUUU
rnacentral:snRNA from 1 species